CGUCUACACACAAGAAGUAUGAAGAUAUAGAUGAAUGACUCAUUAGUUGAAAACUGCUUAACAAAUUGUCCUGAGUAUCCCUGUUUGUCACCGUCUAUACACAAAAAGUAUGACGAUAUAGAUGAAUGACUCAUUAGUUGAAAACUGCUUAACAAAGUGUCCUGAGUAUCCCUGUUUGUCACCGUCUACACACAAAAAGUAUGAAGAUAUAGAUGAAUGACUCAUUAGUUGAAAACUACUUCACAGAGUGUCCUGAGUAUCCCUGUUUGCCAUGGUCUACACACAAUAAGUAUGAAGAUAUAGAUGAAUGACUCAUUAGUUGAAAACUACUUCACAGAGUGUCCUGAGUAUCCAUGUUUGUCAUGAUCUAUACACAAUAAGUAUGAAGAUAUAGAUGAAGGACUCAUUAGUUGAAAACAACUUAAAAGACUGUCCUGAGUAUCCAUGUUUGUCAUGAUCUAUACACAAUAAGUAUGAAGAUAUAGAUGAAUGACUCAUUAGUUGAAAACAACUUAAAAGACUGUCCUGAGUAUCCAUGUUUGUCAUGAUCUAUACACAAUAACUAUGAAGAUAUAGAUGAAUAACCCAUUAGUUGAAAACAACUUGAAAGACUGUCCUGAGUAUCCAUGUUUGUCAUGAUCUAUACACAAUAAAUAUGACGUUCUGUAUGAAUAAUGGAUGAAAGAAAAAGACGACAUCGACAAUCCGAGGUAUACAUAUCAAAUGGCUGUCAUCCUUUAAACGUCGUUAUCACGUGACCAUCACGUAAGUAAUGUAGCAAUUAUGUUGUAGUAAUAUGACUAACCUGUAAAAUAGUGAAGUUCUCCAACACACUGUUCAUCAUGUAUUUCUCUGGAAGUUGUUUAAGUUUGUGUAUAAAGUUGAUCAUGUAUUCGCA